rnacentral:rRNA from 1 species
GGAAUAUUGCACAAUGGGCGCAAGCCUGAUGCAGCCAUGCCGCGUGUAUGAAGAAGGCCUUCGGGUUGUAAAGUACUUUCAGCGGGGAGGAAGGGAGUAAAGUUAAUACCUUUGCUCAUUGACGUUACCCGCAGAAGAAGCACCGGCUAACUCCGUGCCAGCAGCCGCGGUAAUACGGAGGGUGCAAGCGUUAAUCGGAAUUACUGGGCGUAAAGCGCACGCAGGCGGUUUGUUAAGUCAGAUGUGAAAUCCCCGGGCUCAACCUGGGAACUGCAUCUGAUACUGGCAAGCUUGAGUCUCGUAGAGGGGGGUAGAAUUCCAGGUGUAGCGGUGAAAUGCGUAGAGAUCUGGAGGAAUACCGGUGGCGAAGGCGGCCCCCUGGACGAAGACUGACGCUCAG